rnacentral:rRNA from 1 species
UGGGGAAUAUUGGACAAUGGGCGCAAGCCUGAUCCAGCCAUGCCGCGUGAGUGAUGAAGGUCUUAGGAUUGUAAAGCUCUUUCACCGGUGAAGAUAAUGACGGUAACCGGAGAAGAAGCCCCGGCUAACUUCGUGCCAGCAGCCGCGGUAAUACGAAGGGGGCUAGCGUUGUUCGGAUUUACUGGGCGUAAAGCGCACGUAGGCGGACAUUUAAGUCAGGGGUGAAAUCCCAGAGCUCAACUCUGGAACUGCCUUUGAUACUGGAUGUCUGGAGUAUGGAAGAGGUAAGUGGAAUUCCGAGUGUAGAGGUGAAAUUCGUAGAUAUUCGGAGGAACACCAGUGGCGAAGGCGGCUUACUGGUCCAUUACUGACGCUGAGGUGCGAAAGCGUGGGGAGCAAACAGGAUUAGAUACCCCCGUAGUCC